rnacentral:rRNA from 1 species
UAGUGAACCAGUACCGUGAGGGAAAGGCGAAAAGAACCCCGGCGAGGGGAGUGAAAUAGAACCUGAAACCGUGUACGUACAAGCAGUGGGAGCCUUGAUUUAUCAGGGUGACUGCGUACCUUUUGUAUAAUGGGUCAGCGACUUAUAUUCUGUAGCAAGGUUAACCGUAUAGGGGAGCCGUAGGGAAACCGAGUCUUAACUGGGCGAAUGAGUUGCAGGGUAUAGACCCGAAACCCGGUGAUCUAGCCAUGGGCAGGUUGAAGGUUGGGUAACACUAACUGGAGGACCGAACCGACUAAUGUUGAAAAAUUAGCGGAUGACUUGUGGCUGGGGGUGAAAGGCCAAUCAAACCGGGAGAUAGCUGGUUCUCCCCGAAAGCUAUUUAGGUAGCGCCUCGUGAACUCAUCUUCGGGGGUAGAGCACUGUUUCGACUAGGGGGUCAUCCCGACUUACCAACUCGAUGCAAACUACGAAUACCGAAGAAUGUUAUCACGGGAGACACACGGCGGGUGCUAACGUUCGUCGUGAAGAGGGAAACAACCCAGACCGCCAGCUAAGGUCCCAAAGUCAUAGUUAAGUGGGAAACGAAGUGGGAAGGCUCAGACAGCCAGGAUGUUGGCUUAGAAGCAGCCAUCAUUUAAAGAAAGCGUAAUAGCUCACUGGUCGAGUCGGCCUGCGCGGAAGAUGUAACGGGGCUAAACUAUGCACCGAAGCUGCGGCAGCGAUAUGUAAAUAUUGUUGGGUAGGGGAGCGUUCUGUAAGCCUGUGAAGGUGUACUGUGAGGUAUGCUGGAGGUAUCAGAAGUGCGAAUGCUGACAUAAGUAACGAUAAUGCGGGUGAAAAACCCGCACGCCGGAAGACCAAGGGUUCCUGUCCAACGUUAAUCGGGGCAGGGUGAGUCGACCCCUAAGGCGAGGCAGAAAUGCGUAGUCGAUGGGAAACGGGUUAAUAUUCCCGUACUGGUGAUAAUUGCGAUGGGGGGACGGAGAAGGCUAGGCUGGCCGGGCGACGGUUGUCCCGGUUUAAGGAUGUAGGCAGGUGAAUUAGGCAAAUCCGGUUCACUAUAUGCUGAGGUCUGAUGACGAGUCACUACGGUGGCGAAGUAGCUCAUGCCCCGCUUCCAGGAAAAGCCUCUAAGCUCUAGAUUAUCACUAAUCGUACCCCAAACCGACACAGGUGGUCAGGUAGAGAAUACUCAGGCGCUUGAGAGAACUCGGGUGAAGGAACUAGGCAAAAUGGUGCCGUAACUUCGGGAGAAGGCACGCUGGCGCUAGGUGAAGUGGUUUACCCAUGGAGCUGAAGCCAGUCGCAGAUACCAGCUGGCUGCAACUGUUUAUUAAAAACACAGCACUGUGCAAACACGAAAGUGGACGUAUACGGUGUGACGCCUGCCCGGUGCUGGAAGGUUAAUUGAUGGGGUUAUCCGUAAGGAGAAGCUCUUGAUCGAAGCCCCAGUAAACGGCGGCCGUAACUAUAACGGUCCUAAGGUAGCGAAAUUCCUUGUCGGGUAAGUUCCGACCUGCACGAAUGGCGUAAUGAUGGCCAGGCUGUCUCCACCCGAGACUCAGUGAAAUUGAACUCGCUGUGAAGAUGCAGUGUACCCGCGGCAAGACGGAAAGACCCCGUGAACCUUUACUAUAGCUUGACACUGAACAUUGAGCCUUGAUGUGUAGGAUAGGUGGGAGGCUUUGAAGUGUGGACGCCAGUCUGCAUGGAGCCAACCUUGAAAUACCACCCUUUAAUGUUUGAUGUUCUAACGUUGCCCCGUUAUCCGGGGUGCGGACAGUGUCUGGUGGGUAGUUUGACUGGGGCGGUCUCCUCCCAAAGAGUAACGGAGGAGCACGAAGGUUGGCUAAGCAUGGUCGGACAUCAUGCGGUUAGUGCAAAGGCAUAAGCCAGCUUGACUGCGAGAGUGACGGCUCGAGCAGGUACGAAAGUAGGUCUUAGUGAUCCGGUGGUUCUGAAUGGAAGGGCCAUCGCUCAACGGAUAAAAGGUACUCCGGGGAUAACAGGCUGAUACCGCCCAAGAGUUCAUAUCGACGGCGGUGUUUGGCACCUCGAUGUCGGCUCAUCACAUCCUGGGGCUGAAGUAGGUCCCAAGGGUACGGCUGUUCGCCGUUUAAAGUGGUACGCGAGCUGGGUUUAGAACGUCGUGAGACAGUUCGGUCCCUAUCUGCCGUGGGCGUUGGAAGAUUGAAAGGGGCUGCUCCUAGUACGAGAGGACCGGAGUGGACGCACCACUGGUGUUCGGGUUGUCAUGCCAAUGGCAUUGCCCGGUAGCUAAGUGCGGAAGAGAUAACCGCUGAAAGCAUCUAAGCGGGAAACUUGCCUUGA